rnacentral:lncRNA from 12 species
CUUGUUGUGUAUGAAUUAAUCUUUCAUUCUUUGAAUCAGUGUUAAAGCUGUGUGACCUUGAGCAAGUUACCAAAUCUCUCCACUCCUGGCUGAGGUUGUACACAGGUGAAGAGAUAAGGGGAAAGUGGAGAUCGAAUUUAGAGUUAAUUUUCUCAGUUCGGAUACCUGGGAGAGGUUGGAAGGAGCCAAGUAGUGAGCAGUCAGACUGAGUUUGCCUGUGCAGUAAAGCGUUUUUCCUUUUAUCUGUUUCGGCAGCCUGGAGUCUGUCUUCGGAGUAGCCCUUGAUCUCACUGGACCGGCCAAAGGUGGUUCUCUGGGGCCUCCCACAUCCAGCCGCCUGAGGUUCCAGAUUCCGGGGGCCAGAGGAGCCCCUCCUCUGCGACUCACGCUACCUGCACCUGAGAUGCCUCUACUCACGCCGGUGCAUUGGAGCGCUACAGGUAAUUGACCAU